CCUACGGGUGGCAGCAGUGGGGAAUAUUGGACAAUGGGCGAAAGCCUGAUCCAGCCAUGCCGCGUGUGUGAAGAAGGCCUUCGGGUUGUAAAGCACUUUCAGUGGGGAAGAAAGCCUUGGGGCUAAUACCCUCGAGGAAGGACAUCACCCACAGAAGAAGCACCCGCUAACUCCGUGCCAGCAGCCGCGGUAAUACGGAGGGUGCGAGCGUUAAUCGGAAUUACUGGGCGUAAAGCGCGCGUAGGCGGUCUGAUAAGCCGGUUGUGAAAGCCCCGGGCUCAACCUGGGAACGGCAUCCGGAACUGUCAGGCUAGAGUGCAGGAGAGGAAGGUAGAAUUCCCGGUGUAGCGGUGAAAUGCGUAGAGAUCGGGAGGAAUACCAGUGGCGAAGGCGGCCUUCUGGACUGACACUGACGCUGAGGUGCGAAAGCGUGGGUAGCAAACAGGAUUAGAUACCCGAGUAGUC
rnacentral:rRNA from 1 species